rnacentral:rRNA from 1 species
CAUGGGGGGGGGCAAGCGUUAUUCAUCGUUAUUAGGCGUAAAGGGUGCGUAGAUAUUUAAUUUGUAAAGCCAAUUAAAAAGAACAAGAAUUUAUCUUGUGAAGAAUUUGGAGCUUAAAUUGAAUAGAGUUUGUUUGACGAAGAUAGAAUUCUAAAUGUAACAGUUAAAUGUGACAAUAUUUAGAGGAAUACCAAUAGCGAAAGCAAUACUUCGAAA